CAAAAAGCGGAAAAGAAAAUAACUAUGAUUCCCUUAGUAACGGCGAGUGAACAGGGAAAAGCCCAAAUUUGUAAUCUGGCACUUUUUACAAGUGUCCGAGUUGUAAUUUGUAGAACUGUUAUCCGUGCUGGACCAUGUACAAGUCUGUUGAAAAGCAGCAUCAUUGAAGGUGAAAAUCCUGUAGAUGAUAUGGACUACCAGUGCAUUUGUGAUACGGUUUCUAAGAGUCGAGUUGUUUGGGAAUGCAGCUCAAAGUGGGUGGUAAAUUCCAUCUAAGGCUAAAUAUAAGUGAGAGACCGAUAGCAAACAAGUACCGUGAGGGAAAGAUGAAAAGAACUUUGAAAAUAGAGUUAACAGUACGUGAAAUUGCUGAAAGGGAAACGUUUGAAGUUAGUUUUGUAUUCGUUGGAUCAGCUUCGCAAGGAGUGUAUUCUGAUGAUAAGCAAGUCAACAUCAAUCUAUGAGUGUCGGAGAAGGGUUUUGAGAAUGUAGCAAUUUUUAUUAAUUGUGUUAUAGCUUGAGACUUGGAUACGAUGCUUUGGAUUGAGGAACGCGUAGUAAGCUUUGAGCGGAUUCGAAAGGAUCUCCUUACUAUGGAUGUGG
rnacentral:rRNA from 1 species